GUUGAAACACCGGUUCACGUACGAUCAGCGAAGUUAAGCAACGUCGGACCUGAUCAGUUCCUAGAUGGGUGACCACUUGGGAUAU